rnacentral:rRNA from 1 species
GACGAACGCUGCGGCGUGCUUAACACAUGCAAGUCGAACGAAAAGACGAAAGAGCUUGCUCUUUCCAGAAUUGAGUGGCAAACGGGUGAGUAACACGUAAACAACCUGCCUUCAGGAUGGGGACAACAGACGAAACGACUGCUAAUACCGAAUAAGUUCCAAGAGCCGCAUGGCCCAUGGAAGAAAAGGUGGCCUCUACCUGUAAGCUAUCGCCUGAAGAGGGGUUUGCGUCUGAUUAGCUGGUUGGAGGGGUAACGGCCCACCAAGGCGACGAUCAGUAGCCGGUCUGAGAGGAUGAACGGCCACACUGGAACUGAGACACGGUCCAGACUCCUACGGGAGGCAGCAGUGGGGAAUCUUCCGCAAUGGGCGAAAGCCUGACGGAGCAACGCCGCGUGAGUGAUGACGGCCUUCGGGUUGCAAAACUCUGUGAUCCGGGACGAAAAGGCAGAGUGCGAAGAACAAACUGCAUUGACGGUACGGAAAAGCAAG